rnacentral:rRNA from 1 species
GUGGGGAAUAUUGGACAAUGGGCGCAAGCCUGAUCCAGCCAUGCCGCGUGAGUGAUGAAGGCCCUAGUGUUGUAAAGCUCUUUCACCGGUGAAGAUAAUGACGGUAACCGGAGAAGAAGCCCCGGCUAACUUCGUGCCAGCAGCCGCGGUAAUACGAAGGGGGCUAGCGUUGUUCGGAAUUACUGGGCGUAAAGCGCACGUAGGUGGACAUUUAAGUCAGGGGUGAAAUCCCAGAGCUCAACUCUGGAACUGCCUUUGAUACUGGGUGUCUUGAGUAUGGAAGAGGUAAGUGGAAUUCCGAGUGUAGAGGUGAAAUUCGUAGAUAUUCGGAGGAACACCAGUGGCGAAGGCGGCUUACUGGUCCAUUACUGACGCUGAGGUGCGAAAGCGUGGGGAGCAAACAGGAUUAGAUACCCCUGUAGUCC